GAACGAAAGUUAGAGGUUCGAAGGCGAUCAGAUACCGCCCUAGUUCUAACCAUAAACGAUGCCAGCUAGCAAUUGGGUGUAGCUACUUUUAUGGCUCUCUCAGUCGCUUCCCGGGAAACCAAAGCUUUUGGGCUCCGGGGAAGUAUGGUUGCAAAGCUGAAACUUAAAGGAAUUGACGGAAGGGCACCACCAGGAGUGGAGCCUGCGGCU
rnacentral:rRNA from 1 species